rnacentral:misc_RNA from 1 species
GGUAGACGCUACGGACUUAAAUAAUUUGAGCUUUAGUAWAAAAAUUUAUUAAAUGCUAGCUUUCAGAUUCAGGGAAACUUAAGUUGAAAAAAAAAUAUAUAAGCAAUCCUGAGCCAAAUCUUAUUAAGAUAGGUGCAGAGACUCAAUGGAAGCUAUCCUAAUGCAAAAAGUUUCUAAAAUUUAUUUAAUUAAAUUUUAGAAAUUAAUAAAAAUAAAAAAAAAAAAUUUUAGUUAAAUGUUAUUUUUUUAAACAACAAGCAAGGAUAAAGAGAGAGUCCAAUUUUACAUGUUAAUUUUAACAAUAAUUUAAAUUGUAGUAAAAAGAAAAUCCGUUGGUUUAUUGACCGUGAGGGUUCAAGUCCCUCUACCCCCAAAACUCGAAAGUUUUUUUAUUGACAAAAGCUUUCAAUUUAUGUUAUAAUAUUUCAAAUAGAAUUUCGCCGGAAUAGCUCAGUUGGUAGAGCAGAGGACUGAAAAUCCUCGUGUCAC